CCGACCCAAAGGCCGCGGCUGCUAUUCAAAGAAUGUUGGGAACCAGAAUCGAAAUGCGGUAUCAUAGCCCAGAAAACAAUGCGAAAUCCUUCUGUUUCUGAACUGUCAUCUCAGCUGAGAUAGAUGAUCGGGGGCCCUACUGCAUCAACAGCAGUAUAAAACACCCCACCUAGAGAGAGCGCACUCAGUACUGAGGUAGAAGGGGCUGGAGAGCAAACCCACAAUUUCUUGCAUUUUGGACAAGAACUCUGCCAACUGAUCUGGCCUCUCAGUCCCAAGGGAUUUCCUACAGUGGCCACACGCUCACUCCAAGGAGCUGGUCCUUCCGGGGAGAAGAAAAGGCAUGCUUUCCUCAGUCAACUUUCUAGAAGCACUUCAGGAAAUGAGGAAAUUGAAGCUCAAGAGCCCUCGACUUGUGACUAUGACUAAUGGUCGCCGCAGAGCCGGACUCGAAUCACUUUAAUGGAAGAGAAGGCCCUUCCUGCUCGUUUAGCAGCGAGAGACCAACUGACUAGGGUACCAACUAAAUAAAGUUUAUACUAUGAAAACCUUCAUCUAAAUCUGCCCAAUUCACACCUAAACAACCGGAGAAGGGGCACUGCUUAAUUACCACAGUGUAUACAAUAUCACCUUAAUUUGAAUCUAACAACUCAACCACCGUGGACAAUGGCUGCAUGUACCUCAGGGAUAAAGCACUUGCCUGCCGUGUACAAGCUCCUGGGUAUGGCCCCCAGCACCAGAGGAAGAUAAAACAAGGAUAACCUGGAUGGGUCCCACCAUUUCCUUCUGGCAUGCAGUGGACCUCGGAUAUGUAUGAAACAGUGAUAUCUUUUCUUUGUUCUAUUUAAAAGCAUCCUUUUGAGAAAUAUGAAGGUUGUUUUCAGCCCUACUCCUUGUACAUUUUUGGAAAACAGAAAUGUGCCUAAGAAAAUGAAGAUCUAUGUAAAUUCUUAUGAGUAUUAUGUAAUCACUGAUAUCCACGCCCCCCCCCCCCAUCCAUUUAUAUAAGAGCAGAACACACACUGGAAAAGCAGAGGCAGGGGGAUGAUUGUUUGAGUCCAGCCUGGGCUACAAAAGGAGCUCCAGGCCAACCUAGGCUACAAUGUGAAACACUGUCUAAAAAAAAAAAAAUUAAAUAAAUUAAAAUAAAGAGCAGAGCACAUA